rnacentral:rRNA from 1 species
CACUACAGGUGUGCCAGCAGCCGCGGUAAUACGGAGGAUCCGAGCGUUAUCCGGAUUUAUUGGGUUUAAAGGGAGCGUAGGUGGAUUGUUAAGUCAGUUGUGAAAGUUUGCGGCUCAACCGUAAAAUUGCAGUUGAAACUGGCAGUCUUGAGUACAGUAGAGGUGGGCGGAAUUCGUGGUGUAGCGGUGAAAUGCUUAGAUAUCACGAAGAACUCCGAUUGCGAAGGCAGCUCACUAGACUGUUACUGACACUGAUGCUCGAAAGUGUGGGUAUCAAACAGG